AGUGGGCUAUGAACGAGACGUUUAUUUCUCCUUUUGAUGGUUCUACUUGUUAGAAACGCCUAUAUUGCUGUGUGUAGUCCUUGCCUAUCACGCCCAUGAUAGGCUUUUUUUUUC
rnacentral:other from 22 species